rnacentral:misc_RNA from 1 species
UAAUAAGUGUUUUAUGGCACUUUUUAAAUCCAUAUCCACCUUGUGUGCAAUGUCAGUCGAUCUUCUUCAUGGAGAUCGACCAAACAUCAACCUUUAUUUUUUAACUCUUUGUCUGAGAAAUAUUAUGAAUAAACAAUUCAAAAUA